rnacentral:rRNA from 1 species
AGAGUUUGAUUCUGGCUCAGAGUGAACGCUGGCGGCGUGCCUAACACAUGCAAGUCGAGCGAAGUGGCAGCUGUAGCAAUACAGUAUGUGCUUAGCGGCAGACGGGUGAGUAACACGUAGACAACUUACCUCUUAGAGGGGGAUAGCCCGCCGAAAGGCGGGGUAAUACCGCGUAAGAUCAAUAUCCGGCAUCGGAUUUUGAUGAAAGCAUCCGCAAGGAUGGCUAAGAGAAAGGUCUGCGGCCUAUCAGCUAGUUGGUGAGGUAAUGGCUCACCAAGGCAACGACGGGUAUCCGACCUGAAAGGGUGACCGGACACACUGACACUGAGACACGGGUCAGACUCCUACGGGAGGCAGCAGUGAGGAAUUUUGGACAAUGGGGGCAACCCUGAUCCAGCGACGCCGCGUGAGGGAUGAAGGUCUUCGGAUUGUAAACCUCUUUUAUUCGGGAAUAAGAAAUCUGUAGAAAUGCGGAGAGUGAAUGUACCGGAUGAAUAAGCCACGGCUAACUUCGUGCCAGCAGCCGCGGUAAUACGAAGGUGGCAAGCGUUACUCGGAAUUACUAGGCGUAAAGGGCAGGUAGGUGGUUUGAUAAGUCUGUUGUGAAAGCUCCCGGCUUAACUGGGAGAGGUCAACGGAAACUAUCAGGCUUGAGUAUAGGAGAGGGUACUGGAAUUCCCGGUGUAGCGGUGAAAUGCGCAGAGAUCGGGAGGAACACCAAUGGCGAAAGCAGGUACCUGGACUAUUACUGACACUCAGCUGCGAAAGCUAGGGGAGCAAACAGGAUUAGAUACCCUGGUAGUCCUAGCCGUAAACGAUGCACAUUAGGCGUGAGGGGUAUCGACCCCCUUCGUGCCGACGCAAACGCAUUAAAUGUGCCGCCUGGGGAGUACGGCCGCAAGGUUGAAACUCAAAUGAAUUGACGG